AAUGGGCGAAAGCCUGAUGCAGCAACGCCGCGUGAGCGAUGAAGGCCUUCGGGUUGUAAAGCUCUGUCUUCGCUGACGAUAAUGACGGUAAGCGAGGAGGAAGCCACGGCUAACUACGUGCCAGCAGCCGCGGUAAUACGUAGGUGGCAAGCGUUGUCCGGAAUUACUGGGCGUAAAGAAUGCGUAGGCGGCUUUUUAAGUGGGAUGUGAAAUCCCUGGGCUCAACCCAGGAACUGCAUUCCAAACUGGAGAGCUAGAGUGCGGGAGAGGAAAUUGGUAUUCCCAGUGUAGCGGUGAAAUGCGUAGAGAUUGGGAGGAACACCAGUAGCGAAGGCGAAUUUCUGGAACGUAACUGACGCUGAGGCAUGAAAGCGUGGGGAGCAAACAGGAUUAGAUACCCUGGUAGUCCACGCCGUAAACGAUGAGUACUAGGUGUAGGGGCGCCAGCCUCUGUGCCGCAGUUAACACAUUAAGUACUCCGCCUGGGAAGUACG
rnacentral:rRNA from 1 species